GAGUCUUUCCUGGUUCUCAUGUUUACUUGAAGCAGGUAAAGAACAGGGAACAGAAGCUCAGGAUCCAUUUGGUCUCUGAAGAACAGGAGGAUUAAAACAGCUUUCUGUCAGAAAUUAAAGAGAAAAGAUGGAGAGUGA